GGGGAUUAGCUCAGCUGGCUAGAGCGCCUGCCUUGCAAGCAGGAGGUCAUCGGUUCGAUUCCGAUAUUCUCC
rnacentral:tRNA from 4 species